UAUUUUCAUUUUUUUCUUAUCCCGGUUUUUCUCUUCUCCUUCAUCACUCUUCUCCCAAAGCUGGCUCACCUUUCUCAUUCAUGAAAAUUUCUUCACUUAGUUGCCUUUUUGCCAAACAACCUGGUUUUAUCUCUCAGGUCACUAAAAUUCCAUACAUACCUGUUCAAUUUGAUGGUUCGGAAUUUGGAAUUAGGGUAUUGUGAAGAAAGAGGAUUUUAAAAGAAUUAGGGUAUUGCGUUGCCACCUCGUUACAAAAAAUUCCUUUUUCUUCCACGCAAUCCAAUACCCAAUAGCCCAAACCCUUCUCCAUCGUCUUUUCGUUUCCUCUGCCUUUUGUUUUUUUAAGAAAAAAAAAAGCAUUACAUUACUCAAAAAUUUAAUUUAAUAUCCUUUUUCAACCUUCUCGUUGUUAUUUCUUUUUGUUCCUUUGGUGUUUCUUCAACCCUUGUUUGUUGUUGCGCAGCAUAUACAAUUUAGUGAUUUCGACUAGUCUUUGUUGGCUGCUCCUCUUGACUCCUAUUCUUUGCUGCAAGUAAAUUUUAUCUGUAUCUUGCUCAUGUUAUUUAUUUAUUUUUUUCUGGGGCUUUUAUUUUUUUAUUUAUUUAUAAUGAAAAUCGGGAUUUGAUUGUGGGUUUUGAUUUUUACUUUAUAAGAAUGGAAAAUAAAUACUUUUUUUGGGGUGGGUUUUGUUCAAUUGUUAGUUUGUUUUCGUCUUUCCUUUAAUAUGUAUCUGUAUGUAGUUAUUCAGAGGUUGUUUCUUCCUUAAAAUUUUUUUUGGUUAAGCAUUGGUUUUUACUUUCGUUAUGACCACAAUGAAAUUGGGUUUUGAAGUCCUACUAACCAGCUCAUUUGUUAGAGUAUUAUUUAGCUUGAUGAUUGACUGCGACUUCUUCAAUUUACAAACUAGUUUCCUAACAACUAAAUCAUCUCUAACACAUAUCAAAUGUCAAGGAUUUCUUUGCAGAGUAUAUUAAAGGACAUCCAAUUCAUUGUCAUGGAUUGACUUGAUCAUGAUAUUGCUUAUUCUUAACAAUGAUUGCUGCAAUUGAUGACUAGGUAUUAUACUGUGAUUGGGUGAGAAAGAUUUUUGGAGUUAAAUUAUUGUUUAGCUGUGGUUUAUGUUUCAUCUCUUUGCCACGACCUUUUCAGUUUUAGUUUAUCUUGUUGAUUUGUUCUUUUUAGGUGCUGAUAGAACUUAUGUAAUUAAGCACAUGUGCCUUACCGUGCAUUAGUGUUAUUCAUGACUGCCACUAAUUGAUUUCAACUGAAAAAAAUAGAUUGGAUGUCAAUAUUGACAGAAUACUCACUUAUGGUCUAUGUUAUACUAAUUCACAUCUUAUUUUGAGGUUGUCUAAAAUAAACGCGGUGGACUAGUUUUUUAGUAUUAAGGUUAAGUUGCUGUAACGUAAUUUCCAACGAUUUAUUUGUUUGUUUUAGUAACUGUAAAAAAUAUAUGUAAAUAAGCUUUCUCUCUUUAAGAUAUCUAAAAAUUUACUCUUUGAACUAGUUUUUGUGUUACCAUUUCCUCUUUAUUUUUCUUGCACUUGCUAAACUUUGUUUAUGUUGGUAAGAGGGACUUCUCUGAUCUCUUUCAUCCAUCCAGAACCUUGGCUUGACAGUUUGUGUGGUUUAGGGAAUGGACUGGAUGUAUUUGCCCACUGUCAAUCUUUGUGAAUGAUGUUCAGUGGGUCAAACGCUGCAAAUUCUUGCAACAUAUUUAAGUGGAAGUGGCAUGGUGAAUCUUCUUUAAUUACAGGAUUGCUUAACGAUGUAACUCCAGAGAUUGAAUUAUCUUAUUACAGAAGGGUACCAAGUCCUGGUGGCGAGAGCCCUUCAGGGCUUCUUAAUGGUGAGAGUUUGAAUGUGGAACCAAUUGCGGAUUUGGACCUUUUCUUUGAAAGGCUCUACAGCUACUCUUGUGAGGAAGGGCUUUGGUGUAUCAUUAUAAAAUGGAUUGUUGAGCUUCUCAGCCUGGGUUUCACCAUAUGUUUCUCAGGAUUUUUCUUAUUAUAUGUUGAUUGGAAUGGCCUUUGUAAUGCUAAGUGUGGCAUGGAUGCAGUUGAAUUUGGAAUUAAGACCUAUGAUCUUGCUAAAGAAGCUCUUUAUCAGCACCCAUUAACCCCUCUAACACUUUCAAAGGCUAUUAUUGUUGGAUAUUUGGGUAUAUUUUCCAUUUAUUGACUCUUUUGUUUUGUAGGAUUUUUUGCUUAGCUAAGAGUAACUCUUGGAAUCCGUCAUUUCUAUUAUAAUAGUCUUGAUGUUACAGAUAAUGAAAUUCAAACCAUGCCAUGGGCAGCGAUUCUUGAAAAGUUUGUCCAGCUACAAAAUUUGCACCAGCUUUGUGUGGUUAAUGAUCUUUCUGCUCAUGAUGUGGUGAUGCAAUUGAUGCGGAAGGAAAACUACUUGAUCGGAAUGCUUAACAAGGGAGUACUUGCACUUCCAAUCUUAAAAUGGGUCCCUGGUGCUGGUCCAACUGUCAAAUCUGGUUCAAAGGGAAAGUGCCGUCAUUUGAUACUGACUAAAACCCUUGAGUGGACCUUAAAUUGGUGCAUACUACAGAGCAUGUUUGAUAGAACCCAGUGGAGUUGGAAGGUUUGAAAAAAGCACACAUUCGAGAUGGCGUUGCAGUGGUGCAAUAUCUUGUCUGGUUGGAUAAGCAGGAGAUAUAUGGGGUUUCUGGUUACUUCUUGGAGGGAGACGAAGUGACUAAGAAAAAGCAAUUUUGCGAUGUAUUGUGGUCUAAAUAUUGCCUGAAAGAGGAAUGUAAAAGGACAUAAACCGUAUUAGACAAUUUGUCAGUACACAGUUUGUGUAUAUUUCUAUGUGUCUGCAUGCAAUGCUCUGCUUGUGCAGGUUCAAUACACACCAAUCAAAUAAUGAUGCAAUGAUUGGUCAUAGAAGUAAGUGCUAAUCUAUAUAAAGUCAGUGGUAUGCUCGAGAUGAUGUCAUAAACCAGCUUGUACUUCCACCUAAAAUUGGCAAACAGUCAGAAAGACCAAGAAAGAAGAGGAUUCAAUCUCAAGGAGAGGAGCAUCUUCAAUAUAGAUGAAGGGGAUGCAAACAGAUUGGUCACAGCAGCCGAUCAUGCUCGGCCGCCGUACCUUUUGAUCGCACUACCAACCAACAACACCAUUCAACUGAAGGACCAUAAAUUGCUCUACGCUAUAUUAAGCCAAUGGGGGCAUGUAAUGCGGUAUUCGUGUGUUAUGCAAUGUAGUAGGGAAUGCAAUUAGUAGCUCAACCGCUAACAUGUGUUUUGGCAUAAUAGACGUUGGUUUUAUGUGUUCUUUUGUUGUCAAAUUCAUCUGUCGUAUUGUUUUGAUAACUUAUCAUUCCGUGUUCAGUUUUUGGUUAAGUUGUUUGUAUGUUUCUUACUAUUGCAUGGAUGAUAUUACUACCCAAUGGUAAUGACCGAUGCAUCGUCGGUAAUUGACAUUUGUA